UCGGGAAUUUUGGGCAAUGGGCGCAAGCCUGACCCAGCAACGCCGCGUGAAGGAUGAAAUCCCUCGGGAUGUAAACUUCGCAAGAACGGGAAGAAUAAGUGCAGGCUAAUAUUCUGCAUGAUGACGGUACCGUUUGUAAGCUCCGGCUAACUUCGUGCCAGCAGCCGCGGUAAUACGAGGGGAGCAAGCGUUGUUCGGAUUUACUGGGCGUAAAGGGCGCGUAGGCGGCACUGCAAGUCACUUGUGAAAUCUCGGGGCUUAACUCCGAGCGGUCAAGUGAUACUGCAGGGCUAGAGUGCGGAAGGGGCAACUGGAAUUCUCGGUGUAGCGGUGAAAUGCGUAGAUAUCGAGAGGAACACCUGCGGCGAAGGCGGGUUGCUGGGCCGACACUGACGCUGACAGUGCGAAAGCUAGGGGAGCGAACGG
rnacentral:rRNA from 1 species